CUUUCCUUAUUUAUUUAUUUAUUUUGUUGUGUAUCUUAGGUGAACAGUAAAGAAAGCCUCCUUAUAGAGGGCUUGAGCCAUUAGUGAGGUACCACUCUAGGAAAUGCUAGAAUUCUAACCUUUUGUUAGGACCUACAGCCCACAAGGUAGUCUCAAAUAGACAGUUUUUAUGAGGUGUAGGCCCCCUAAAAGGUAAUACAGUGUGCAAAUGUUUUCUUAGACCAUAUGGACAUUGGCCAUCGAGCGUAAAUGUAGAAGGGAGCUUCAUUGCAAGACCCACCCAUUAAACGGUGACACUCUUUUUGUGUCAGUCUUAGAGAUCCAAUGGUGCUAAGUAGAAGGGUCAUUACUCAAUGGAUAAAAG
rnacentral:ncRNA from 1 species